GAAGAAUGUGAGAAGCAGGUGCAGACUUUGCUAAUGCAAUGUGCCUGGCCACCUGCUGAAUCCAAAAUGGGGACAAAAGAGCAUUCUGUAGCUAUAGUCCUGGGAAUGGAGAGCAGCCCCCUGAGACAGUGCAGCCAGUUGCACUUUCCAGCUGUAAACAUCCCUGCAGAUCAUGGGCCAAGGAGGUUAAGUUCCUGGAUCUGGUUAUUCUUGCAUGCCAGGAGAGGAAUACUGUACGAGCAACCUGACUGGCCAGCUGAUGACACAUCCCAAGAUACGUGAAGAGUUGAGGACCUAGCAGACAACAGGGAUUCCUCUUUAUUAGUAGGUAAGGAAUAUACAGUA